AAUGGGCGCAAGCCUGAUCCAGCAAUGCCGCGUGCAGGAAGAAGGCCUUCGGGUUGUAAACUGCUUUUGUCAGGGAAGAAAUCUUCUGGGCUAAUACCCCGGGAGGAUGACGGUACCUGAAGAAUAAGCACCGGCUAACUACGUGCCAGCAGCCGCGGUAAUACGUAGGGUGCGAGCGUUAAUCGGAAUUACUGGGCGUAAAGCGUGCGCAGGCGGCUUUGCAAGACAGAUGUGAAAUCCCCGGGCUCAACCUGGGAACUGCAUUUGUGACUGCAAGGCUAGAGUACGGCAGAGGGGGAUGGAAUUCCGCGUGUAGCAGUGAAAUGCGUAGAUAUGCGGAGGAACACCAAUGGCGAAGGCAAUCCCCUGGGCCUGUACUGACGCUCAUGCACGAAAGCGUGGGGAGCAAA
rnacentral:rRNA from 1 species